AUUGAACGCUGGCGGCAGGCUUAACACAUGCAAGUCGAGCGAGCGGCGGACGUGUGAGUAAUGUCUGGGAAACUGCCUGAUGGAGGGGGAUAACUACUGGAAACGGUAGCUAAUACCGCAUACCAUCAGAUGUGCCCAGAUGGGAUUAGCUAGUAGGUGGGGUAAUGGCUCACCUAGGCGACGAUCCCUAGCUGGUCUGAGAGGAUGACCAGCCAGACUGGAACUGAGACAAGGGCCAGACUCCUACGGGAGGCAGCCAUGGGGAAUAUAACACAAUGGGCGAAAGCCUGAUGCAGCCAUGCCGCGUGUGUAAAGAAAGCCUUCGGGUUGUAACACCCUUUAAGCGGAGAGGAGUUACUCGCAAAAAAAGCACCGGCUAACUCCGUGCCAGCAGCCGCGGAAAUUC
rnacentral:rRNA from 1 species